rnacentral:lncRNA from 1 species
CUUUCUCCCAUAAACUGGCUUUUUCUGAUUCAAAUGAUCAGCCUGGAGACUUCUCAGCUGCCUUAAUUCUUAAGGCACAUGGCGGGCGCUUAAUAAAUGGCUUUGACUAACUCUCUGGUUUCUUUGACUAACUCUCUGGUUUCUAGACCUAGUCAACUGGUUGCAAAGUGUUUUCAGCCUCUGAUUUGUAAGAGAAGUAUCAGGUUAUUCAUUUGCCCUCUGGCUGGGGACAGUUUCCUCAUAAAAGAGAGUCACCUCCUGAGCAUCCUUGACAACUCAUCGAGGUGGCAUUAUCCUGAGUUCACACCUUGUCUCAGUGGGCUUGGCUGCCUAUUGGCUAUCACCUCACAAGCUUCAGCUCCCUAUCUGGUAAACCUAGGCAAAUAGAACCCUUGGCAUGUGAGAACUCUGAAUAAAGUGCUAUAGAAAGAUGUUCU